rnacentral:lncRNA from 1 species
UUAAGAAACAUCUUAGAUAGUUGUAUUGUGGUAGGACUAAAGAAAUAUUUGAAGUACAAGUAAAUUAUAUAUUCGUAUGAAUACUUUACCGAAAAAACUCAAAAAUCCGAAAAUCCCGAAAAAAAACUGAAAAAACCCAAGGUUGAAAAACCCGAGUUUUAUUGGUUUGGUUUGGUUUAUAAAUUUAAAAAUCUGACACUAAUGGUUUGGUUUGAUAUUUAAAAAACUCGAACCUACCCGACCAUGUACACCCCUACUCUUCAGGCAACUGUUCUCUAAGUUUUUGUAUGUUCCAACUUCCAACAUUCUUGUAUUCUUUGAUCUCCACCUCUUCUUCAUUAUUAACUUCUGGUAAUGCAUGAUAUAGAACUCCUACUUACUGUCUGACUGCAAUCAUCUUCUUUCAUGUACUAGAAGCCCCCUUACCCUGUGCAGGGAGUGGGUGCAGCUUCAUAUUGUAUUUAUUUUCCAUAUCCCCCAAGGAUCGAAAACCAAGAUCCCCUUCUUUAUGUAAACAUAGUGAGUUUCAUUUCAUCCAGUGUAUACUUUUAGCAUCAGCCUUCUUACUCCAGAAGAAUUAGCCAGAAUAGAAUGAUUCUUGUUUAAUAACCCCAACAAAUGGACUUAUUACUGAAAGUAUUUGAAGGUGUAUACUUUGA